rnacentral:rRNA from 1 species
CCUACGGGUGGCAGCAGUAGGGAAUCUUCCACAAUGGGCGAAAGCCUGAUGGAGCAACGCCGCGUGGGUGAAGAAGGUCUUCGGAUCGUAAAACUCUGUUGUUAGAGAAGAAAGAGCGUGAGAGUAACUGUUCACGUUUCGACGGUAUCUAAAAAGAAAGCCACGGCUAACUACGUGCGAGCAGACGCGGUAAUACGUAGGUGGCAAGCGUUAUCCGGAUUUAUUGGGCGUAAAGGGAACGCAGGCGGUCUUUUAAGUCUGAUGUGAAAGCCUUCGGCUUAACCGGAGGAGUGCAUUGGAAACUGGUAGACUUGAGUACAGAAGAGGAGAGUGGAACUCCAGGUGGAGCGGUGAAAUGCGUAGAUAUAUGGAAGAACACCAGUGGCGAAAGCAGCUCUCUGGUCUGUAACUGACGCUGAGGUUCGAAAGCGUGGGUAGCAAACAGGAUUAGAUACCCUGGUAGUC